rnacentral:rRNA from 1 species
UACGUAGGGUGCAAGCGUUAAUCGGAAUUACUGGGCGUAAAGCGUGCGCAGGCGGCUAUGCAAGACAGAUGUGAAAUCCCCGGGCUCAACCUGGGAACUGCAUUUGUGACUGCAUAGCUAGAGUACGGUAGAGGGGGAUGGAAUUCCGCGUGUAGCAGUGAAAUGCGUAGAUAUGCGGAGGAACACCGAUGGCGAAGGCAAUCCCCUGGACCUGUACUGACGCUCAUGCACGAAAGCGUGGGGAGCAAACGAGGAUU